rnacentral:rRNA from 1 species
AGAGUUGAUCCUGGCUUAGGAUGAACGCUAGCUACAGGCUUAACACAUGCAAGUCGAGGGGCAGCAUAUAGAUAGCUUGCUAUUAUGAUGGCGACCGGCGCACGGGUGAGUAACGCGUAUCCAACCUUCCCUAUACUAGAGAAUAGCCCGGCGAAAGUCGGAUUAAUGCUCUAUGUUCUUCUUUGAUGGCAUCUGACGAGAAGCAAAGGUUUACCGGUAUAGGAUGGGGAUGCGUCUGAUUAGGUUGUUGGCGGGGUAACGGCCCACCAAGCCUACGAUCAGUAGGGUUCUGAGAGGAAGGUCCCCCACAUUGGUACUGAGACACGGACCAAACUCCUACGGGAGGCAGCAGUGAGGAAUAUUGGUCAAUGGGCGAGAGCCUGAACCAGCCAAGUAGCGUGCAGGAUGACUGCCCUAUGGGUUGUAAACUGCUUUUAUAGGGGAAUAAAGUGAGGUAUGCAUACCUUUUUGUAUGUACCCUAUGAAUAAGGACCGGCUAAUUCCGUGCCAGCCGCCGC